CAGUUUGUCCCUGCACUCCUGCUCCCUCUGUGGAUGUUUACAUGUGACUCUAUUUGUCUUACUUUACAACUUUUGCUGGACCCUUUUGGUUUUUCACUUUUGGAUAUGUUCUACACUGCCACCCUUUGACUCCCAUCAACAGGCUGAAGCUGGACUCAUGGAGGUCCCUCUGGGCUCCGUGCCUGGUGCAGGGGCGGGUCGGAGUGUCAAGAUCUUGAGCCCCCAAGUCCCUCUUUCCUGAGUUGGCCAGCGCUACAACUUCUCCUGUGUAGGGCUCCCGUUCCACAGCUUUCACAGCCUGGCACUGAGAGGCAAAGCACAUACGCAGAUAUAUUACACAUACAGUAAUCAGGAAAUGUUCUCAGGGGGCAAAACUUCCCAGAGCCCUCAGCACAUGUAAACAUGCCGUUUUCAUAAACCAGACGACCGCGGCUGAUGGUAACAAUGGGCACACCAUGACAGCGGAGACCUUCAUACAGGUUUAUAUCUCCUCCUUGGACCUGGUUAUCCACAGAGAUGGUCCUGAAGACAGAGGAGAGAAACAUAUGAACCAGUUAUAUCCAACAAAAAGCUCAUCAGCCUCAGAGACUUGAGAUAAAAGCUGCAGCGAGACGAGGCGGUCGAUGAAUGGACGGAUUGUGUUUCAUACUUGGAUCCCUCGGGGUCCCAGACCACCACAUCAGCAUCUGCUCCGGGGAUGAUCCUGCCUUUCCUCGGGUAGAGGUUGUAGAUCUUGGCUGCGUUUGAGCUUGUGACUGCCACGAAGCGAUUCUCAUCCAUUUUGCCUCCAAUCUGUGAAACAGAACAAUUAAAAAGGUUGUAAUCUUAAUUUCUGGAUGCAUCGACAGCAGCAGAUUAUUUACACAUUUAAUAUACAUUUCAUUGUUUCUCUCUAUGCUGAUGAUAACAUGCUGCAUAUUCAAAAGUUUCUGUGGAAUAAG